CGGGUGAGUAACACGUGGAUAACCUACCUAUAAGACUGGGAUAACUUCGGAAACCGGAGCUAAUACCGGAUAAUAUAUUGAACCGCAUGGUUCAAUAGUGAAAGACGGUUUUGCUGUCACUUAUAGAUGGAUCCGCGCCGCAUUAGCUAGUUGGUAAGGUAACGGCUUACCAAGGCAACGAUGCGUAGCCGACCUGAGAGGGUGAUCGGCCACACUGGAACUGAGACACGGUCCAGACUCCUACGGGAGGCAGCAGUG
rnacentral:rRNA from 1 species